UACGGAGGGUGCAAGCGUUAUCCGGAUUCACUGGGUUUAAAGGGUGCGUAGGCGGGUUGGUAAGUCCGUGGUGAAAUCCCCAAGCUUAGCUUGGGAACUGCCGUGGAUACUAUCAAUCUUGAAUAUCGUGGAGGUAAGCGGAAUAUGUCAUGUAGCGGUGAAAUGCUUAGAUAUGACAUAGAACACCAAUUGCGUAGGCAGCUUACUACACGAUCAUUGACGCUGAGGUGCGAAAGCGUGGGGAGCAAACAGG
rnacentral:rRNA from 1 species